CUGUGGCUUUUAAGGCUUUGUGUCUCAUCGCGUUAAACGAUCGCAGAACGAUUUAUUUCUCUUUUUCACCUCGAUCUUUGGCCUCGUGUGAUUUACCAAAACCAACAUGUGAAGUUACAACGCUGACGAAGGAGUUUCAUCAGUAGAGUGUGUCCUGGAAAACGUGUGCUCGGAAACAUGCAGAAUACAGUAUUUACAGAGCCGACCUUGAGGCACCCACUGAUGGAUAAUCUGUUUACCUAAAAACAGCCCACCACAAUCCAUGUUUACCAGCUGUGAAAGUGCAGGCCAAAAAUCUUCCUUCACCUGUGGGCCUCUACCCACAUGUAGAUAAGCAUUUCAGGAGAAACCUGCCUGUGAUCUGCUAAGAUGCACAGAUUCAACUCUGGCCCAUUGUCAUCCCAACACCUCAUCUGCCAUCAGUUUCGUUUAGUGUCGGUCUAUUGCAAAAGGUCUUAUAAACUUUAAAUGAGACUUUGUGUUAAGCAGGGGUUUCCAAACUUUUCAUUCCACAACAUAUUAAGCCCAGGAUACACAGCAGGAUUUUUGCAAUCCAAUAAGACCUUAUCACACUGUGUGACAAGGAUUGUUUAAACUUCAGCAGUAGACUGUCGAUGAAGACACCUAUUGCAUCUGAAGCUGCGACAUCUGUCAUCAACAUGCGCUAGUGGUAAACAAAUACAGGUAUGCAGGUCGUAGAAGCAAACACAUUGUUGAUGUGCGAUGAUCAUGCUGAACUUCUUACACUGUCAUAAAACUAUCGUAGGUGUCUUUGGUCCCAGGACUGGGAAAACAGACGUCUUUAAACCUCUCACACUGUAUGAGAUAGGACCACCAAUUAAGAGCCACGAUCACAGAAAUCUCCACGAAUGUUUCACGAUUGGUAAUCUUUCAUCUGGGACAGCCAAAAAUCGUGCCGUGUAUUAUGGGCUUUAGACAGGUGCAAUCUUAUAGUAUAUCAAAACCAUUGCUAAUAAUUAAUUGGACAAACCAUUACUACAAUGCAACACUCACUAUCUUACGGUGCGACCCACAAGUGGGUCUUCACCCACAGUUUAAAAACCCUGAGUAUGAGAAAGAGUAUGUUGUAUUGUAAUUAAAGUCACAUCUAAGUGUUAUGGAACAGUUUGUCAUUAUAUUCACAGUAUUACAUGGUUCUUUCAGCAGUUAAUAUGUUACAGUGCUCUUAAAGUGUCCUGAUCAGCUUUGGGUCUUGUGAAGUAAUGUAAUGAGAACGUGAUCAAUAGCUUUGCAGUAUUUUGUUACACUGUGGCUGUAAUCAUAUUAACACAUAGGUUAAACAUUUUAUUCAAAUUUGGUAAACAAACUAGUCAAUAUAAUUCAUGCUGUGAUGCUGGAUUAAACCU